CCUACGAGCGGCAGCAGUGGGGAAUAUUGCGCAAUGGGCGAAAGCCUGACGCAGCGACGCCGCGUGAGGGAUUAAGGUCUUCGGAUCGUACACCUCUUUCAGCAGGGAAGAACGGUCACUGUGCUAAUCAGCAAUGAAUUGACGGUACCUGCAAAGUAAGCACCGGCUAACUCCUUGCCAGCAGCCGCGUUAAUACGGAGGGUGCGGGCGUUAAUCGGAAUUACCGGGGGUAAAGCGCUCGUAGGCGGUAUGUCAAGUCAAGGGGGAAAUCCCCGCGCUCAACGUGGGACCUUCCUUUGAAACUGACAAACUGGAGUGUGGGAGAGGGGAGUGGAAUUCGAGGUGUAGGAGUGAAAUCCGUAGAUAUCUGGAGGAACAUCAGUGGCGAAGGCGACUAUCUGGCCCAUAACUGACGCUGAGGAGCGAAAGCGUGGGUAGCAAACAGGAUUAGAUACCCGUGUAGUC
rnacentral:rRNA from 1 species